CAGCCAGGAGCAGAGAGCAAGGGACGGAGAAUGUGAGCGAUUCCGCCAGAGACCGCCAGGGGGCGAGCGACUAACGCUCGGCCGCGAGCUCCCCGCUCCCCGCGCUGCGCCCCAACGGCCAGCAGAGGGCGCGCGCCUGGCGCGGAACCCAACCGCCGCCUCCAACCGGGCAGGACAGGACCGGGCGGGACCGGACGGAGGUUUGGGUCCAAGCCCGGCUGUGUUUGCGGCGGGUCCGGGGCUUGGAAAUCGCUGGAGCGGCGCCAAGAACGAAAGUGGGAAAUGGUCAUCGUCGUUAAAGCCCCAGUCCUCGGGGAGCAGACCCCUGCUCUGUGGCAGUGCCGUGCGCCUGGGAGCUGCGUGGACCAUUCGGCAACGAUCACUCUCGGCCCUGCAUUGGCCUUGACCACAGAACCCGGAGGCACAGGGAGAAGCCUCCCCUGGAAGCCGGCGAGUUGACUUCAGCGGCUGAGACUGUCCGGGAGAGCCGGGAGCACCGCAUGCUUCCUGCAGAUGGCGGGCAGGCCUGUGCGCAGGAGCACCUGCGUCCCUGAAGGGGAUCUCCGUGGCGCUACCUGGUCCAGGCAGGUCACAGAGGGCUCCUCAGCCCUGAGCGCAAGAAGGUGCACCAAGGACAAGAUUCAGCACCGUCACGCCAGAACAGCUACACGGAGCCACAGGUCACUUUCCAAAGAGGCAGUUUCCAGGCCAGAAGCCACCCCUGCAGCACUGCUUUAUGCUCCAAGAGAAGGCCCAGCACACAGCUCUGCUCCGAUGGAACCACUGUUCCCUCAGUGUCCUUGUCAGCGCCAGGUGACUUUCCGACCCAACCCCUCCCUCCCUCUCUGCCUGGUUUUCUCCAGGUGCCGUGUUUGCCUGAAAG